GUUAAAAGAAGGUUAUGUGAUGGCUAAGCAUCUAUCAAACAUCUCCUGUACUGAUGCUAAUAUUAGAUGCUGUCCAUGCAGUUUGUUUGAUUGUUGUAAUAACAAUUGGCGAAAGGUGUGGGCUGUUUUGAAACCUGGGUUCUUGGCCUUGUUGGAAGAUCCUUUCGACACCAAAUUAUUAGAUAUUAUUGUUUUUGAUGUUCUACCAACCUCAAAUGGGAAUGGUGGGUCUCUAGUAUAUUUAGCAAACAAGGCAAAGGAACACAAUCCUUUGCGUUAUUCAUUUAAGAUUUCUUCUGGAAGUCGGAGCAUAAAAUUAAGAACUACAAGUAGUGGCAAAGUUAAGCAGUGGGUUACUGCAAUCAAUGAUGCUGGUUUAAGGCCUCUAGAGGGUUGGUGUCAUCCUCACCGCUUUAGUUCAUUUGCUCCUCCAAGGGGUUUAACUGAUGAUGGGAGUCAAGCACAAUGGUUUGUAGAUGGGCAAGUAGCUUUUGAAUCAAUUGCUUUUGCAAUAGAGAAUGCAAAGUCAGAGAUAUUUAUUACUGGCUGGUGGCUUUGCCCUGAACUUUAUCUUAGACGCCCUUUCCAAAGUAAUUCCAUCUCUCGGCUUGAUUCUUUGCUAGAAGCUAAAGCUAAGCAAGGCGUUCAGAUUUAUAUUCUUCUCUAUAAGGAAGUUGCUAUUGCUUUGAAAAUUAACAGUUCGUACAGCAAGAAAAGGCUCCUUAACAUUCAUGAGAAUGUGAGGGUACUGCGCUACCCUAACCAUUUUUCAUCUGGUGUCUAUCUAUGGUCACACCACGAAAAACUUUUAAUUGUUGACUACCAGGUUUGCUUUAUUGGAGGAUUAGAUUUAUGCUUUGGUCGUUAUGAUACUAUGGAACACAGAGUUGGUGAUUGUCCUCCUCAUAUAUGGCCUGGAAAGGACUAUUACAAUCCAAGAGAAUCUGAACCAAAUUCUUGGGAGGACACAAUGAAAGAUGAAUUGCAUCGUGAAAAAUAUCCACGCAUGCCAUGGCAUGACAUCCAUUGUGCCCUUUGGGGACCAGCUUGCCGUGAUAUCGCUAGACACUUUGUUCAGCGCUGGAACCAUGCGAAGAGAAGCAAAGCUCCAAAUAAGCAAACAAUUCCAUUAUUGAUGCCUCACCACCACAUGGUCCUUCCUCACUACAUGGGAAAAAGUAGAGAGAUAGACAUUGAAAACAAGAAAGCAGAAAAAAAUGAGAAAGAUAUUGCAAGACAGGAUUCCUUCUCACUAUCCCCAUUGCAAGAUGUCCCAUUGCUUUUGCCUCAGGAAGCUGAUGGACUAGUUCUGUAUAGUGUAGACCAAAAGUUAACAACUGAAUACAAGAAUGAGAAUCUUCCUGAUCAACCAACUGGAUUUUGUGGAAGUUUCUCAUUCUCCUUCCAGAAGUCCAAAGUUGAAUCUUUAGUUCCGGAUACACCUGUGGAGAAUUGUGUCAAUGAACUAGACUCUAUGCAUCUUCAAACUAAUACUAAUAUGUCAGAUGAAUGGUCAGGAACAUCAGAGGAAGAUGAUCAUGAUGUUUCUGCUGGUGAAUAUGGACAAGUUGGGCCACGUACUGCAUGUCAUUGUCAGGUCAUCAGAAGUGUCUGUCAAUGGUCUGCUGGAGCCAGCCAAACUGAAGAAAGCAUCCACUAUGCUUAUUGUUCUCUUGUUGAGAAGGCACAACAUUUUAUCUACAUAGAGAAUCAGUUUUUCAUAUCAGGCCUUUUUGGAGAUGGGAUUAUACAGAACAGAAUCCUGGAUGCAUUGUACAAGCGUAUUUUGCAAGCACAUAAAGAACAGAAGUGUUUUCGUGUCAUCAUUGUCAUACCACUCUUACCAGGCUUCCAGGGAGGUAUAGAUGAUGGUGGGGCAGCAACAGUUAGAGCCAUAAUGCAUUGGCAGUAUCGGACCAUUUCCAGAGAAAAAACUUCAAUAUUGUAUAAUCUCAAUCAGUUGCUUAUCCCUAAAACACAUGAUUACAUUUCAUUUUAUGGACUGAGGACAUAUGGUAGACUUUUCGACGGCGGUCCUAUUGCCACAAGCCAGGUGUAUGUGCAUAGCAAAGUUAUGAUAGUAGAUGAUCGUGUUGCCUUGAUUGGAUCGUCUAAUAUUAAUGACAGAAGUUUGCUUGGAUCAAGAGACUCAGAGAUUGGGGUGGUCAUUGAAGAUAAGGAGUUUGUUGAUUCAUCCAUGAAUGGAGAGCCUUGGAAAGCUGGAAAAUUUACACAUAGCUUGCGGUGCUCACUGUGGUCAGAGCAUCUUGGUCUUGAUGCAGGAGAGGUUAGUGUAAGGAUGAUCUACAUGAACAUAAAUCCACUCCCUUAUUUACACAAAGUUUCACAUCCAAGAAUCUACUUUUAGGGCUUGUUUUUAAGUAGGAACUGGUGAAACUUUUUUUUCCCCAUUAUUUCUAUCCAUUUGUGCUUAGCUCUUGGAUAUUUUUAACCAGCAAAUUCUACUAUCCAUUUCUCCUUCCUUCAGAUCUUUAAAAUCAGUGAUCCUGUAGCAGAGACAACUUAUAUAGAUUUAUGGUUGACAACUGCAAAGGUGAGAAUUUUCUCAUGUCUUGAUUUUACUGCUGUGGCACUUAACUAAAGUGAUAUCUAUCUGACAGGAAAAUACAAGGAUCUACCAGGAUGUCUUUGGUUGUCUACCAAAUGAUCUCAUACACUCCAGAGCUGCUCUAAGACAAAGCGUGAACCAUUGGAAGGAGAAACUCGGUCACACAACCAUUGAUUUAGGAAUAGCUCCUGAGAAGCUAGAAUUUCAUGAAAAUGGAGAGACAAAGGUGAUAGACACAAUGGAAAGGCUAAAAUCAAUAAAGGGACACCUUGUAUCCUUCCCCUUGGAGUUCAUGCGUCAAGAAGAUCUGAGACCAGUAUUCAACGAGAGUGAGUUUUAUGCAUCUCCUCACGUAUUUCAUUAGCUUGGAAUCGUAAAGAGGCUGGAAAUGGGUAGAGAGAGGGACAAAACAAAUGGGAAAAAAAGUUACUAACAGAUACUAACACGUUAACGAUUUCUAAAAAUGUGUUGGGUUAGAUGAUCUUACGGCCACAUUGGCUUUGAUGUAUUCUCUGUACAAGAAAAGAAUUGUUUGUAGAAGAAAAAUAAAAAGUGUACAGCAAUGUUAACAUUCUUUUACUCUAUAUUCAAGGUAGUGGUGAAGUUGUUUCAAAG
rnacentral:misc_RNA from 1 species